AACGAACGCUGGCGGCAUGCCUAACACAUGCAAGUCGAACGAAGGCUUCGGCCUUAGUGGCGCACGGGUGCGUAACGCGUGGGAAUCUGCCCUUUGGUUCGGAAUAACAGCUGGAAACGGCUGCUAAUACCGGAUGAUGACGAAAGUCCAAAGAUUUAUCGCCAGAGGAUGAGCCCGCGUUGGAUUAGGUAGUUGGUGGGGUAAAGGCCUACCAAGCCGACGAUCCAUAGCUGGUCUGAGAGGAUGAUCAGCCACACUGGGACUGAGACACGGCCCAGACUCCUACGGGAGGCAGCAGUGGGGAAUAUUGGACAAGGGGCGCAAGCCUGAUCAAGCAAUGCCGCGUGAGUGAUGAAGGCCCUAGGGUUGUAAAGCUCUUUUACCCGGGAAGAUAAUGACUGUACCGGGAGAAUAAGCCCCGGCUAACUCCGUG
rnacentral:rRNA from 1 species